AUUAGCUAUGUUGUUUACAUUGUUAAUUUCACUGAGGUCAUUCAAGAGUCUUCUAAAAUUAGACUGCUCUAGAAAUUGGCAGAAUGUUCUUUUUGUAGACAAUACUUGCAGAAAAGUGAAUACUAGAAGCUUCCAGAAUAGUGAAUAAUUUAUAUAUAUAAGCUGGCAGUUUCUUCAAGGAGAUCAUCAGAUCAGUACUUAGAGUUUCACACCAAACUUUAAGUCAGAGCAUAGUUUAUUUCCAACUGGAAUACAAUAUUUAUCUUCUGUGGAAUUAUUUGCACGCCAUCAAUGAACUGUUUGCAGUUUCUUUGAGAGAGGAAUUCUCAGUUCUCAUCGAGAUAAUCAAACUGUUUUAAUAAACACUGUUCAAACCAUGGAUUGCUGAAAUUGACUGUUAAUCAUUCUCAACAUCGUCUUCAUGGACAUUUCAACUGGUUACAGUGACUCUUGUUAUUCAUCGUGCUUCAACAUCAAUUUCAUCAUCGCCAUCAUUGUGAACUUUAAUUUAAGGAAACUUCGCCAACCAACUUGGAUUUUAUCUGGAUUAAAUACUGGACUAUCAUAACUUUGGAUUGCACAUCUGACACUUCAGGAGAUAGUCUCAAGAUCAUUCUUUUGGCAGUGUCUCUGGGAAGCACAGAGAGUUUGGUAGAACACCCUGCUUCAAUGACACACGGUAGUUAUUACAUGACAGAAGAAGAAAGAUUGGCUGGAGGAAUAACAGAUGGACUCAUUAGAAUCAGUGUCGGAAUUGAGAACAUUGAUGACAUCAUACAGGACAUUGAGCAAGCAUUGGCUAAGGUUUAAAGAACCAACUCAAAGAGGAUCAUGAAACAACCUUCGAUGCUAUUCAAUUCUUAAUUGAAUUACUGAGAGAUUGAACCAGUGACAGAAAUACUGGGUAUACAGGAAUAGAUGCUAAAAAUCCACAAUAAUUUUGAAUACUGCCAAACUAUAAUGCUGCAAUAACUCAGAAAACUAUGUUGUAUUGUAUGUAGCCUUGCUGCAAUACAAUAUUGUUUUCUUAUCAAAGACUUUAACUUUAUUUGAUUUCAGUUGUAAGUUAGGCAAUUUUUUAUAAUGAAGAAAGGAGCAAAGCUACUUGAUUAUCCAUGCACUACCGAGUAUCAAAUAUAAUUUUAUUUCAAGUAAUUUUGACUUUAUAUUUCAUAUUGCAUUGUACAUAGUAGAGCAAUAGGGUAUAUCCUCGUGUAAACAAAUUCCUUAGGAAUAAUGGCUUCUAACAUAAUGAUUAUGAUUCAUAUAAUUUUAAGCUUCUGAAUACCUACAUGUUGGGUAUAGUAUGCCCCCCCAAAAAAAAAAAAUAAUAAUAAUAAUGAAUAAAUAGAUAUAUAAUAAUGAUAAAUUUGAUAAAAUAGAAAAAUAUUAUCCAAGUAGAAAACAUAUGUCAAAUGCCUCUGGCAGUCUCGCCUGCAUUAUGUGAAUCAAUAUGACAGCAGUGCUGACUUUAAAAUAAACUUUUGAAUAAUUAUUCACAAAAAAAUGCAUAUUUCAUUGUUCAGUGUUUUUAUCAGUGAUUAAAUUAUACAAUUAGUAGUAUUAAAAUUAGUAACUGUUCCCUUUUGAUAACUUAGAAUAUUUUAGUUGAAAUAUUUGUUUAUUUAUGUUACUAAGUAUUAUUAUCUUUGACUUAGAUUUUGACUUUAUUUUCAUGUAUGAUAUGAUGAUUUAUGUUGUUCUUUAAGUUUUCAUCAGGUCAUUGAUGAAAAACAGUUUUGUGCUGAUCUUUUGAACCUGAAUAAAUAUGUUCUAAUAAAUAAAUAAAUAAAUAAAUAUGAUAUUGAUAAUAAAAUAGUAUGUUCAUUUACCAAUAAUGACCUUGAUCAUGCAUUUGUCAUAUUCCAUCACUAGGCUUGUUUUGUCAUGGAUCAAAAGUAACUUGGAAGAUAAAUGUGACUUCUUAGCAUAGCCCAUUACUUACCUUAGAAAAAAAGUUUGAUCAUUGUUUUAGUGCUUUGGACCAAUUACAGUUCAUCAUUAUACUAUGCUUGAAUAGUAUUGCUUUGUGAUCCAUCUUGAAUGAAAUUAUAUAUUUCACCAUGAUGUGCACCAUGAUUUCACUUUGUAUCCUUUCAUAUUCAUUGAUAUAAAUGUAUUGAUUAUCUUGAUUAUUAUGGUAUAUUAGCCUUCUACGAAUUUGGUUGCAUGUCUGUUUGGUUAGAAAUUACGUCUUUUUAUGUCUCCGUUUAAGUAGGUGGUGCCAGGUUGCCCAUCCUUCCAUCUGUUCUGUUUUUGUGAUAACUCAAAAAACCAUUUGACAGAUUGACUUAAUAUUUGGAUAAUUUAUGCAUGUGGGAGUGGACUGAUUAGUUUUGGAAGUAUGGAGGUCAGAGAUUAAAGGUUACAGAGGUCAUGUACAUCUUAAAUGCUUUGUUCUCUCAAGAACAAAGCAUUCUCAAGAACCGAUAUACAUAUCAGCUUCAUUAUGUAUUCAUAUUAGAGUGAUCUUUUGCAGGUCGCAAGGUCAAGGUUCGAGGUCAAUUUGGUAUAAAGUAUGCAAUAAAAUUCUGAUCUGGCAAUGACAGAAACUAAAUUUUGAGCGUGUGCAAUCGAGAAUCCAUGUAGUUUAAAUUUGUUUCUUGAAAUGCUUUCAGAUUUUGUUAAAAUUGCAUGUACUAUAUUACCAUAGCAAUGUGGUACCAUAGCAAUGUCUAUAUUACCAUGUCUAUAUUACCAUAGCAAUGUCUUUCAUCAACCCUACUUUGAAUGAUAGCCUUGCAUAAUGGCAGUUUGGUUUGUCCCAUUUCAGUAAGAGUUCAUCACCAUGAUAAAACUGAAUUCAUGUAGACUAAUAUACAUUAUAUUCAAGUUCAGUGUUUAAUUGUGAUAUUUUUGUUCUACAAAGUAGAAAGUGAAAAAAGAAUAUUUGAAACUGAAAUAUCUUUUAUAAUUUCCUUUUUCAGUGUCCACAUGCUGGAAUUUGAAAUCUUCACAAAUUGAAUGUUAUUUCAUGUUUUUUGUUCCUUGCAAGAUCUCUGUUUAGCUUUCUUCAUGCAAUUGGGAAUUAGUUUCAGAUUGUUCUCUAUAUUCUAGUGAUAAGACUAAAGUACAUUAACUCUUUGCCAGCAACUGACAGGAUCGCUCCGCCACAUUAACCCGAAAAGGACUGGGCUAUUUGAGAUGUAUCGAGGACUGGCGAGGACCUUCUGAUCUCGGCCGUUGAAAUUUUCAUGCACAUUCUUUACCACAUAAACUACAAGCUAGUAUAAAAAAAAUUCUGAAAAUAAUUAUUUUUUAUUUAUUAUGAAUAAAAUAUGUAAAUUUAUUCAUGGAAAACUUUAUUUGCCUAAUAACACCAAAUUUCACUGCAAAUUAUUAUUCUUUUUUGCAGAUGUUAUCUUUGUAAUCUAAUAUAAAGGUUUCCACAUAGAAAAAUUGCGAAAGCCAAUGUUUCCUUAUGUAUUUCUUUGUUUUUAGAAUUUAUGUAUUUCUUUGUUUUUUCAUCUUUUGUUUUUCAAUGUUUUUUUCAAUGGAAAGUAUUCCAGACCAUUUAACAACUAAACUUGACCCUAAAUUAAUAAAGCAGACCAAUUAGAACGAAAAAUAACAGUCCGGCAGCCCAGGAGAUUUAUUCAACCGAAAGCAGGACAAGCAAAUGACCCCAUAGCUGGAUGGCAUGGACCCUGAAGUUUACAAAAAUGCAUUGCUGCCGGGUUUUAUCCGUGGUCUUCAUGCCGAAAUGACGUAAUCUAUGUCGUCACUAUAAAAUGGCCCUAUUUCACCAUUUCUUGGGAAUUAGUUUCAGAUUGUUCUCUAUAUUCUAGUGAUAAGACUAAAGUACAUUAACUCUUUGCCAGCCACUGACAGGAUCCCUCCGCCACAUUAACCCGAAAAGGACUGGGCUAUUUGAGAUAUAUCGAGGACUGGCGAGGACCUUCUGAUCUCGGCCGUUGAAAUUUUCAUGCACAUUCUUUACCACAUAAACUACAAGCUAGUAUAAAAAAAAUUCUGAAAAUAAUUAUUUUUUAUUUAUUAUGAAUAUAAUAUGUAAAUUUAUUCAUGGAAAACUUUAUUU